AGAGUUUGAUCCUGGCUCAGGACGAACGCUGGCGGCGUGCUUAACACAUGCAAGUCGAACGGAAAGGCCCUUUCGGGGGUACUCGAGUGGCGAACGGGUGAGUAACACGUGGGUGAUCUGCCCUGCACUUUGGGAUAAGCCUGGGAAACUGGGUCUAAUACCGGAUAGGACUACGCGAUGCAUGUCGUGUGGUGGAAAGCUUUUGCGGUGUGGGAUGGGCCCGCGGCCUAUCAGCUUGUUGGUGGGGUGAUGGCCUACCAAGGCGACGACGGGUAGCCGGCCUGAGAGGGUGACCGGCCACACUGGGACUGAGAUACGGCCCAGACUCCUACGGGAGGCAGCAGUGGGGAAUAUUGCACAAUGGGCGCAAGCCUGAUGCAGCGACGCCGCGUGAGGGAUGACGGCCUUCGGGUUGUAAACCUCUUUCAGUGCCGACGAAGCGCAAGUGACGGUAGGCAUAGAAGAAGGACCGGCCAACUACGUGCCAGCAGCCGCGGUAAUACGUAGGGUCCGAGCGUUGUCCGGAAUUACUGGGCGUAAAGAGCUCGUAGGUGGUUUGUCGCGUUGUUCGUGAAAACUCACAGCUCAACUGUGGGCGUGCGGGCGAUACGGGCAGACUUGAGUACUGCAGGGGAGACUGGAAUUCCUGGUGUAGCGGUGGAAUGCGCAGAUAUCAGGAGGAACACCGGUGGCGAAGGCGGGUCUCUGGGCAGUAACUGACGCUGAGGAGCGAAAGCGUGGGGAGCGAACAGGAUUAGAUACCCUGGUAGUCCACGCCGUAAACGGUGGGUACUAGGUGUGGGUUUCCUUCCUUGGGAUCCGUGCCGUAGCUAACGCAUUAAGUACCCCGCCUGGGGAGUACGGCCGCAAGGCUAAAACUCAAAGGAAUUGACGGG
rnacentral:rRNA from 1 species